rnacentral:lncRNA from 1 species
UGCAGAUAGCAUCACAAUGGGCUGAAUUAAACUGCCUUGUCAAAAUGCUCUCCGCCGGGAGGGGGGCCACCAACAGCCGCCGCCUUGGCAGUGCAGCCGGAGCAGCACCCAGCAGGCAGCUCUGCCCACCCGGCCUCUGCCCAGGAUCGCUCUCCCCCAGCGCAGCCCCGGCACCCCGCCGGCAAUCUUCGCAUCGCUGCGGCACAAGGAGUCUUCAGAAAUGGUGCAGAGCAUCCACUUCGGAGAGGAGCUGCAGCCAGCAGCCUCGGGCGAGCCACAAGGAUGCUGAGGCAUUUCUGAGAGCGGGGGCAGGCCAGUGGGACCUGGCAGGCGAUGAGACAGGAGGACAAUACAACAGCCCAUUUGUGCUCCCAGCUCCCAGCCCCCCUGCCCUGCCCCAUGCCAUAGUAAGGCUGGUAUUCAGGAAUUAAUUGAUGUAAUUAAAGUGUGGCACGACUUUGCCACGGUCUCCAAACAGAGUGGCGGCGGGCCAGGGUCUGUGGGUGGAGGAGGAGCCUCCUGCGUGCUGUUCUCCAUAUAGAAAAAGGGCAGAUCUUGGGCAGAUCCAAGGCAUGAAAUUGGUAUAAAGAGAUUGUUGGGGAAGCAUAACGGUGCUGGUCUUGCCACCACCAGCAGCUGCAGGGCGAUAACUCAUUGCAGCGAGCUGCUGUAGCCCAUCCUGCCACGGCAGCACCUCUGACAGGAGGUGCUGGACCCAACACCACGCAGGGCCCGGGUUGUGCCCAGCUGGCUGGGCUCUGCGCUGGGUCCACGCCACAUCUCCUGAGCAUGGGCAGGGCUCACAUACGGGGCUGGGGGCUGCACGCGCAGGGUCCCCUCACCUCAUCCCAGAGCACACAUGACAGGACAGGGGCACCCUCCGGACUUCCCCUCUUCCCCUGCCCAUUGCGAGAGGCAGCACAAUUUAAGCAGUGACAGUAACAAUAUCCCAACACUGAGAGCACCCAGGGUGAGCGAACAGAGCCUGGCCCUGACUUCUGACUGCUUGCCCGUGCGGGAAUAAUUCUCCCACUGGGGUUCCAGUGUCAGAGGACUGCUGAGCCCUGGGCUAACCGCAGCACGCCAGCUGGAGCCCUCCCAGCUCCAUCCCAGCCUGGCAAAGUUAUUAGCAGCCCCCCUGGUGUUUUCAGCAGGCGGGGGAGAACUGAGCGCUGCAGCCUGGGGGGAGCGGGAUCCCACGCAGGGCUCUGCGGCGAGCUGGUGACAGG